rnacentral:ribozyme from 12 species
UACUUUUUAUUUUUCAUUUUUUCCUUUAAUUUAUUUUUUCGUAGUGCGAAAUUUUAAGCUUCCGGGCCAAUUUUCGGAAACCCAGGAAACCUUUGUGUUUUUUCGGAAGAGGAUUCAAAGAUUAGGCUAUGAUUGGGCAGGGAGGCACUGGGCUCUUUUUUGUGCUAGAAACAUCCUAAGACGGCUUCGGAUAGAUCAGAAAGAAAAAA